GAUGAACGCUAGCUACAGGCUUAACACAUGCAAGUCGAGGGGAAACGACGUCGAAAGCUUGCUUUUGAUGGGCGUCGACCGGCGCACGGGUGAGUAACGCGUAUCCAACCUGCCCACCACUUGGGGAUAACCUUGCGAAAGUAAGACUAAUACCCAAUGAUAUCUCUAGAAGACAUCUGAAAGAGAUUAAAGAUUUAUCGGUGAUGGAUGGGGAUGCGUCUGAUUAGCUUGUUGGCGGGGUAACGGCCCACCAAGGCUACGAUCAGUAGGGGUUCUGAGAGGAAGGUCCCCCACAUUGGAACUGAGACACGGUCCAAACUCCUACGGGAGGCAGCAGUGAGGAAUAUUGGUCAAUGGACGGGAGUCUGAACCAGCCAAGUAGCGUGCAGGAUGACGGCCCUAUGGGUUGUAAACUGCUUUUAUAAGGGAAUAAAGUGAGUCUCGUGAGACUUUUUGCAUGUACCUUAUGAAUAAGGACCGGCUAAUUCCGUGCCAGCAGCCGCAGUAA
rnacentral:rRNA from 1 species